rnacentral:rRNA from 1 species
GACGUAGGGGGCCAGCGUUGCUCGGAAUUACUGGGUGUAAAGGGCGCGUAGGCGGCUCAUGAAGGCUGUGGUGAAAGUCCGGGGCUCAACCUCGGAUCGGCCGUGGCGACUCGUGGGCUGGAGCACUGUAGAGGCGGGUGGAAUUCCGGGUGUAGCGGUGGAAUGCGUAGAGAUCCGGAAGAACACCAGUGGCGAAGGCGGCCCGCUGGGCAGUGGCUGACGCUGAGGCGCGACAGCGUGGGGAGCAAACAGG